AUUAGACUCUCAUAGGCAGCCUUUUUGUCGUAAACAAGACAAAUCCAGGUGGGCUUCUUCUCAUUCACCUGAAGAUACAGGGCAGCAUCAAAGCACUGCAGAUGUGUACACAUCACUGCACGGCACGGGAUUGUCAGCCUCAUUUUUUCCUAAAGGGCACAUCGAGGACACUCGAAGACUAGUUGUAUCGAUUUCACUAUCAGGAUCUGCAGAUGUUCACUGCCUGAUGUCCACUAUCCCUCUACUGAACCCAUGACAAGGGCAAAUAACAUGACUUAAUUGAUCAUCA
rnacentral:lncRNA from 1 species